AUGAGUGGGUCAUUGACCAGUGCAAGCGUCAGCAUUGGCGGAAGGCCGAUUGGUAGUAGUGGAGGGCCAUGCGGGGCAUGCAAGUUCUUGCGACGCAAGUGCGCGGACGAUUGCAUCUUUGCACCUUAUUUCGGCUCAGAGAAAGGGGUGGAGCACUUCACCGCGGUGCACAAGGUGUUCGGUGCCAGCAAUGUUUCCAAGAUACUUAAUCAAGCCCCUCCCCACAAGCGCCUUGAUGCUGCCAUCACUAUAUGUUAUGAGGCAAAGGCACGCCUCCGUGACCCUAUCUACGGCUGUGUCGGCGACAUCUUAGCCCUCCAACAACGGGUAGCGAACCUCCACGCCGAAGUCGCCUUCCUACAGGCCCACCUCACGACACUGCAACAGCCUUCACCGCCUCCUUUUCCGUCCCCGCCGUGCAUGGCCAUGACCACUGAGUUCUCCAUUUCUGAACUAGCGUCAUUGUCCAAUGUCCCGAACACCAUGGAACUAUCUUCGUUGUUCGACCCAUCGAUGCAGUGGGCCUUCCAGCAGCAACACCAACAACCAUAUGACCAGACAGGGGAAGGCUCUGUCGGUAUAGGCAACACCAACUCCAAUGGCGAUGACUUGCAAGCCCUGGCUAGGGAGCUCUUGGAUCGACAGUCAACAGGAUCGACACCCCAGCAACCAUCAAACACACAGUUUUGA
rnacentral:rRNA from 1 species